rnacentral:rRNA from 1 species
GACGAACGCUGGCGGCGCGCCUAACACAUGCAAGUCGAACGGAGUCACGAGGAGCUUGCUUUUCUUGACUUAGUGGCGAACGGGUGAGUAACGCGUGAGUAACCUGCCCUGGAGUGGGGGACAACAGUUGGAAACGACUGCUAAUACCGCAUAAGCCCACGGAUCCGCAUGGAUCUGCGGGAAAAGGAUUUAUUCGCUUCAGGAUGGACUCGCGUCCAAUUAGCUAGUUGGUGAGGUAACGGCCCACCAAGGCGGCGAUUGGUAGCCGGGACGAGAGGUUGAACCGCCACCUUUGGGAUGGGGCCCGGCCCCGACUCCCACGGGGGGGAGGCGUUGGGGGUAUUUCCCCAUGGGGGAAACCCUGAUGCAGCGACGCCGCGUGGAGGAAGAAGGUUUUCGGAUUGUAAACUCCUGUCGUUAGGGACGAUAAUGACGGUACCUAACAAGAAAGCACCGGCUAACUACGUG